UCACGAUAUCUUUGCAUAACAUAUGCCUCCUCUGGGUCAUCUACAAAACGGGUAGGGCUUCGAGUAUCGGGUCCAACAUGCUCUUUGUCUAUCCAGUCAACAUAAAUUUUACCUAGGGUAUUUGGCGGAAGGGUCCGCAAAAAUGGUAAGUUUAAAGACUUCGAUGUCAUUCUAGGUUUAUCUUUCAAAAUUUCACGACCUGUUUUAUCAACGAGCAUUUUAUUCAGUAAUCGAUGAAGGAAGAAUGGUUGACCAGAUGCAUCUCCUAGGACAGAUAUCAUAUCUCCUAGCAUUAGUAAAUCCAGAAAAAGUAAAUAUAGCUUUUCACCAACUUCUGUAGCAAAGGUCAAAAGAAUUUGCCGAAGUGUUUUUACUACCUAAAUUUCAUACCGCCUCUCCAUGGUGCCUUCAAUCCCAUGAUUGCUGAUCCUGCAACCAAAAAAAUACGUUGCAGCGGUGAUAAAGGAACAUGUCCUGGAUAAUUAACCUUCCUCUCUAAUUUCUUUAGUAAAAUCUCAUUUAUGCAUUAGCUGAGCUAAACAUUUCUUACCAGCUGCUGUAAAAAGCAAACGAAGUUGGUUGGAAGCAACUGAAGGCUUUAAAAACUUCUUUGAAAGUGACAUUACAACGUCUACGACCUUAUUAAUUUCAAGAUGAGCAUUAAGAUAAAACAUACAUACUGAUAUGUGAAGUUCAGUAUUGCUGAUACUUUUUAAAGUGGUGUGUCAUCGAUAUAAUAGAUUUACGAAUUUGGCGUUACAAAAGUCGAAUAUGUUUACUCAAUAAAAAAAAAAAGAUUACGGGUAAUAA